AGUUUGAUCCUGGCUCAGGAUGAACGCUAGCUACAGGCUUAACACAUGCAAGUCGAGGGGCAGCAUGAACUUAGCUUGCUAAGUUUGAUGGCGACCGGCGCACGGGUGAGUAACACGUAUCCAACCUUCCGUUUACUCAGGGAUAGCCUUUCGAAAGAAAGAUUAAUACCUGAUAGUAUGGUGAGAUUGCAUGAUAGCACCAUUAAAGAUUUAUUGGUAAACGAUGGGGAUGCGUUCCAUUAGGUAGUAGGCGGGGUAACGGCCCACCUAGCCGACGAUGGAUAGGGGUUCUGAGAGGAAGGUCCCCCACAUUGGAACUGAGACACGGUCCAAACUCCUACGGGAGGCAGCAGUGAGGAAUAUUGGUCAAUGGGCGAGAGCCUGAACCAGCCAAGUAGCGUGAAGGAUGAAGGUCCUACGGAUUGUAAACUUCUUUUAUACGGGAAUAAAGUAUCCUACGUGUAGGAUUUUGUAUGUACCGUAUGAAUAAGCAUCGGCUAACUCCGUGCCAGCAGCCGCGGUAAUACGGAGGAUGCGAGCGUUAUCCGGAUUUAUUGGGUUUAAAGGGAGCGCAGACGGGAGAUUAAGUCAGUUGUGAAAGUUUGCGGCUCAACCGUAAAAUUGCAGUUGAUACUGGUUUCCUUGAGUGCAGUUGAGGCAGGCGGAAUUCGUGGUGUAGCGGUGAAAUGCUUAGAUAUCACGAAGAACCCCGAUUGCGAAGGCAGCUUGCUAAACUGUAACUGACGUUCAUGCUCGAAAGUGUGGGUAUCAAACAGGAUUAGAUACCCUGGUAGUCCACACGGUAAACGAUGGAUACUCGCUGUUGGCGAUAUACUGUCAGCGGCCAAGCGAAAGCAUUAAGUAUCCCACCUGGGGAGUACGCCGGCAACGGUGA
rnacentral:rRNA from 1 species